AAAAGAAAGUUUUUUUCUUCAUAAGAAAAUAAUGCGUGUAUAACCCUUUAAAAAUAACACUGUUUAAAGAAUCUAAAUUGUGCGUACGUGCCCCCACUAUCGAGACAUUCUUGAUACUAGCGAGUGAAAACUUACACCACUGGUCUUGCGUACAAUGCCACGCGCGAAUUUGGCGCAAGUUACGUAUCUCAUUGUUAAUAAAAAAAUCUCAAAAGCCCAAGUGAUAAAAAUCUCAUUCACUUAUAAUAAAAUAAAUAAAUAAUAAAUUUACACAUACAACAUAUGAUAUAUAAUAUUAUAUGGAUAAAUUAUAGCUAAAUGUUUCUGAAAUGUUACUGUAAUAUUUUAAUGAAAUAUUACAAGUCUAUGUUUCUGCAAUAUAUCUACAAUAUUGCUCAGCAAUGUGCAAUAUUGCAACGUUGCUGCAAUAUAACUGCAAGCUUCUGUACUGUAUGGGUUAUCGAGCGAAAAAUUCAUUUUCAUAAGAAGUGAUCGAGAUAUCACUUCAUUUCGAGUGGCCAUAUUUUACUAUCGCUUUGAGUAAAAUUCCAUUCUUUUGGAGUGACGUUUUACUUCAAGAAAUUUAGUGAAUACGUAUAUAAUACGAGAAUGUUUCUAAGGCCGGUAUUCAUAGUCAAAUCUUAUUUCAAGAUCGUCUCAAGCAAUGUCUUAAGAUGCUAAUACGGCUCUGUGAUUGGUUGAUGGCAUCUUAAGACAGUACUUAAGAUGAUCUUAAAUAUAAGAUCCGACUAUGAAUACCGGCCUAAAAUUCGUAAAAUUUUUACAUGGUUUCUACGUCGAACCUAUGAUCGCAUCCACAUAGAUUCUAGUACCGUUUUUGAGCGGAUGUCCACUCGAAUAUUCACGUGGAUUUCACGAUGCCGAACAACGUAGCAUUAACGUGGAUAUCACGUACUGUUUUAUUGGGGUUCUUGGUCGUCCGCGAAGAUUAGUUUUUGAACAAAAUGGUGGCAGCAAUGGGGAACCUUGUUGAUUAAGAAGAGAGAGAAAGAGAGAGAGAGAGAGAGAGAGAGAGAGAGAGAUACAGACGUACAGGGAUACAUGUAACAUAUACAUAUAUGUAGAUAUAUGAAUAAUCGCGACUAUUUUAUGGAUUGAUAUCUAAUCUUUUAUACAAGAUCUCUAGUCCAUCCAUAAUAAAAAAAUCCAUUUUGACCCUGAAGUGGAUGUUUGGAGUCGAAUAUAUCGUAUGUAUUGUUGACGGCUUUCCACAUACCGAAUUGGUGGUACUCGACGAGGUCGCCGCGUGGCGAUCGAGAUCGAGAUUCCGCGGCGAGUUUCACGGCGAUAUUGAUAGCUCGCGACGUUACGUCGUGACUUACGUGAUUUUUUUAUAUAUUUCGCGCGGAAGUAUUAUGUGUGCGAGCGUUGUGUUCUGAAGGAAAUUACGUUUGCGACGGUGAUCGUGCAUACCUCGGAUAAGUUUGACAUCAUAAUAAUUAUAUAAUAUCAAAAUAUUAAAAGUGCAAAGAGCUAUCAAAUAAGUUAAUAUUGAAAAUAAACUUAUUGUACAAAAAAAUAAUCUAUAUUAUAUAAUUGCAAACAUACUAUAUAACAUAAUAUAUUAAAGGUUAUAAUUUAUGAAGGUAAUCGGACAGAGACCGAAAUGUUUGUAGUUAUAAUAUAUAUAGUUUUACUUUUUUGGAAAUAUAUAUGUUUUUAUUAAUAAAAAAUGCUAUUAAUUCAGGUUGGUGCAAAUAGAAGGUUGAUGCUUAGAUUUUAACAACUCAAAGAAGGGAUAAUUUUAGAUCUUGAAGAAAUAAUACUAUGCGCUAUUUUGAUGUAGUGUUCAACAUGCCGUUUUUUUUGUAAAAACCAGCAGUUUAUGGGCUAUCGUAUCGCUUUUUGCCGCUCGGUAAGCGUUUCUGUGUUUUGUCUGCAAGAGUUAUAUUUGUAUAUAUCAAUAUCGAUAUCAAAGUAUAUAAAUUUCAAUUCAAAUUUAAUUAAAAUUAAUAUCAAUUUAAAUUAUAGCUAAUUUUAAUUCAAGUUAAAAUAAUACAAGUACAAAUAAAUAAUGUUUAAUACUUGCUUAAAAUUGGAGAGUAUACCCUCCGAUAUUACACGUAUAUAUACGUAUAAAUAUCACGAACAGAUGAAACUGAAAAAUAAAAAAAUAUAUAUAUAAUAACAAAUUUUUCAUGGAAAAAGCAUAUAAAAUAUAUUACAUUUCUAUCUUUUCUUCUCCUUUAGAAGAUUAAAAUUAAGAUUGUAAAAAUUUGUGACUUAAUUACAAAGAAACGUCACGAUUGAAGAAGAUUCGCUAUAAUGCAGUAGUUUUGUCACAAUAAAUUUCUGAAUAAUAUUUCCUAUCUAAAAAAAGGAAUGUAAAAUUAAUACUCAUUUCUCUUAAAGUCUUCUCAAAUAUUUCGAAUUAUUGUUGAUUUUUUUCUAUGAUACUCUAUUUAAUUCUCUUAUUGCACCAAUUGCAUAAGCGACUAUUAUCGCAAAUUUAGCAAAUAUAAAUUUAUAUAGAAAGUAAUUAAUACAAUUUAUUUAAAUAAAAAAGUAAAAAAACCAAAAAGCGUGUGCAAAACGCGUGUUUGUGAUGUCCAGUUUAUUAUUAAAAAGACCUGUUAAAUUGAUACUCAAAUAUAUCAAAGUAUUCUCGAAAGUCUCUAAGCAUAUUAUUAACUUCUUUCCGUAACACUAAUUAGUUCUCUCGCUAAUUUCGUGAAUGACUGUUAUCGCAGAGAGCAAAUAAUUUAUAUAGAAAGUUAUUUACCAUUUAUUUUCAAAAAGUAAAAGCUAAAUAGCAGACGCAAAAUACGCGUUUAUUGUUUUGUAAAAAAAACAAAAAAAAAACAAAUGAGAGUCAGCACAGUAAACGGUAUGUAAUUUUAUUUGUAAAAAAAUCUUUAAUAUUUCAAAAUGAUAUAAGCGUGUAUAUUUUUAUUAGCAUUUUUAGCUAUCUUUAGUAUGGAUCAGAAUACGCUGAAAAAAAAGUUGAAUCAACAAAAUCAAUGUAAUUGGAAUUGAUUUUAUUAAUUCAAUAAUAUUAUUAACCCAUUAACGCCCAAGCACACACAUUUUCAACAUAAUUUUCAGCGACUUUAUUUACGUUACAGGUACAUAAAAAACCUAAUAAUAUCUAUAAUUAUAUCUUCCAAUGAUUUCAGCUCGUGAGCCGACCACGCUUCCACUUUUCCGUUUUUUCAAAAGAAUCGGAGAGUAAACAAAAAAAGAUAGAUGCUAGGAAAGAAACUCAAUUUAUAUAUACUAUAUAUAGCAGCAAUAAAACUUAAUAACCAACAAUUUCUACUAUUUUUAAUUUACUGACUAAUAACUUUAUGAAUUUGUCCAUUAAUAUAUACUAAUAAGUAAAUUUAUAAACUGAUAAUAGUCCGUGCAUAAAACAGUUUUCGAGAAAGAAUUCAUGGAGAAAUUUAGGAAAAAUGAAGAAAAAUCAACGAUUUUUACACUUUUUUGGUUGCCAUAUUGAAUCCGCCAUCUUAAAAAUUGUGUAUUUAAUCGAAAAUAAACUGCGAAUAUUAAUCCCAUUAUUUUCAGUAAUAAUAAGCCGUUAAUUGUCCGCAAUUUACAAAUUAUUAUGAAAAAAAUACGAUAAUUCGUAAAUUGUUGCGAUUUAGCGGCAUCUGAAAGAGGAGGCUUUUUUCGUUCGAAAAUGGAUAGUAAAAAAAUUUUUACUAGGUUGAUUACAUCAAAAGAUAGAGCGUUAAAAGUUAAGAAUAAAAUGUGACAUUUUGGUCCGAAAUGGGUUAACAGAUUUUGUUACGUUCUGCUGAUGAUGUGCCAACAAGAUUAGAUGUAAUAGAUUUUGCAUUAAAUUUGUAGUCAUUUUGUUAACAAAAUUUGUAACAAAAUUUGUAACAAAUAUUUGACAAAAUCUGAUUUAUCCUCACAUUUAUUGUAUUUGACUGGAAAAUUAUUAACAAAAUUAAUCACGUUCUUCGAUAUUUUGAUCAGCGUUGCUAGUUAGUAUAUUUACAUAUAAAAUAGUUUCAAAUUAGAAAUUGGUUAAGAUUAGAUUAGGUUUAUUGGGAUGAGAGUGCAGAAAGAGUGACUCUAUUCACGCAUGUUCUUUGUAAAGAGAAGUGACGUCCAUUUUUCACUUAUUAGAGAGAAAUAAAGUCUAUAAACGAAAUCUAUAAAUAAAGACUAAUUUUCGGAUUUCGGAAUUUCGGAUUCGAUGAGUUUCAGAUGGUAUCAUUCAACAUCAGUAUUUUCAUUGGAAAUGUCUUGAGAACUUAUUUUUUCUAUUUCAUCUUAAUACAUUUCCGUCUUUUUUUGUAGUUUGAUACAUUUAUUUAACGAAAAUAUUUUAAAACAAAAAUAAAUCUAAAAAAUGCAGAAGAUAAAGUGUAAUUAAUCUUCAGAUAUACUACGGAAAAUUAUUCGUGGCAAACAUCGACAAAUGAUGUGCAUGUUUCAUGCAACCGUCGCUUACAGCGUAUGCAUUGAAUCCAAUCUACUUUUUUCUCUGUAAGCUUAUAAUUCUUCUUACAUUCAACACAUACAUUUGAUAUGUUAUCAUCAGAUGCGAUUUUCAUUUUUUGUUUGGAGCAGCUACUUGAAACAGUUUUGAAAUAAACUGUUUCUUUCUGAAUUUUUUAUUUAUAUUUUUAAUAGGUUUUUUGGAUACAUUUUUUAAUUUUAAUUUUUUAACAUUUUCAGAAGAAGUUAACAAAAUUAUUUGAUUAUUUGUAUUACAUUUUAAUGUAACGUCUUUUGUUAUAGAUGGAAACUGGGCAAACUUCAUUUAAUAAUUUUGUUGGAGAUGUUUCUGUUGAUUGUACACUUUGAUUGAUACUAUCAAAUUGUAAAUCAAUAUUGUGUAUAGUUGUUGAAGUAAUUACGUCAUUAAUCUCAAUGUCAUUUUCAAAAGAAAUUUCAAGUAACGGGAAAAUUAGUGGAGUAAAAUUUAUAAAUCAGAAUUUAUAAAUGCAUAGUCUGGAAUUGCAUCAGGGUUAAAUGGAUAAAUUUCGGUACUUCUAAAUCCUGAGAUAACGUUUGGUGGUGUUGCUGAGUUGCACCAUGUUUCAUUUAAUAGCUCUUCAAUUGUAACCGUCUCAAUCUAGAGGCUGUAGAUAAUGCGCGAUAUGACUGGGAAGACGAUUUAAUAAAAGGCCUUUGAAUUCUGCGAAUUCAAGCAUUUUAAUAGAAUUGCAAUGAGUAGAAUGACCAUCUAGAAUCAAAGCAACAGUUUCUUUCAAUUUUCGGGGAAAAAAAGUGUUUUCUAAGUCAGUCAAAAAAUAAUUGAAUAUUUAUAUAAGCUGAUUUUUCAAACAUUUUUAUUUUUGCCUUUCAUUAUACAGGCAAGAGAAAGGUACACGCCUUCUGCAUUAUAGCAACUUAUCAUUGUUUCUCCUCUUUCUUCAGAAGUAACAGAAAAAGCAGAUUUUGAUUCUUUUUCAGCAAUAACAUGGCCAGGACGAUUGUUUUAUUGUAAGCCAGUUUCAUCCAUAUUACAAAUAGAACCUGUCUUAUUAAACAGUCCAUUUUGUUCAAAAAUUUCACCCAAAACUCUAAAAUACUCACUUACUUUUUGUCUGUUCAUAGCAAGACUUCUACUAACAACAAGAGAUAAACUUUCUGAUUUGCGUAAAGAAAUAUUAGGAUGUCUAGAUAAAAAUGAAUAAAGCCAGUCAUAUCCAGCUUUUUGAGUAUUAUUAUUAAAUUUAUGUUUUACUUUAAGCUGAUUGGCAAAAUUAUAAGCCAAUGUACGAAGAUCAUCUCGAGUAAGCGGAAAACCACGCUUUUGCAUUGUUUUGAUGUGGUUUACUAUCUUUUCCUCAUUUUUCAUUCCAAACAAACAGGUAGGUCCCAUUCCAUCUUUUAUUGCGUUUCCAGAUUUAAAUCUUCUUUUAAGAGUUUUUUGGGGAAUACCAUAUUCAAUGCAGGCUCGACGUACAAAAGUGUUAUUUUGAAUGGCUUCCAGAGCUGCAGUUAAUUAAUCCUGCGAUCAUUUAUCUUGUUUUAGAAAGUUUUCUUUAUUUGCCAUCUUUACAAAGUCUGUAACAAUUUCAAUUUAAAUAACAAAAUGUUUGUCAAUGGUUGUCAAAUAUUUCAUUUUAUACAUGUUUUUAUUGAUUUCACAAAAAUUUAAUUUUAUUAUAUUCAUACCUUCGUAUUGCUAUUGAAUAGUAGUUUAGUACUACUGGUAGAUCUAGAUUUUCUCUUAAAUCGUACUAUAAUACAAUUUAUAAAAGAAAUAUGUCGAGCGUCGGUACUGAAUCAGUGCACUGCUAAUAAUAAAUUUUGGUAAUUAUUUACAUUAGCGAUUCCUCACCGAUUUUGAUGACCUUCAAUAUGUUGUCAAGUUCAUCAUUCUGAACAACUUUUUCCUAUACAUGUUACCGCCGCUCGGCCUUAGUUUUUGUGUUAUAUACAAAAAAAUUAUUAACAAAGAAAUUUAAUAAAUACGAUACUUACGGGUAGCUCCGAUAACCAUAACAUGUCGUCAAGGUCACCCUCCUGAAUGACCUUGAAAAGAUUUUAACCGUCGCUCGUGAUUUAUUUGAAAGUUUACAACAAAAAAA